GUCCUUGUAGAGAAACAUAACUCGCUCCCUGCUGUUAGGCAGUCAGAUCUGUUGAUGGGAGAGCCGGUGGUUCGAGCCCACCCGAGGACA